rnacentral:rRNA from 1 species
GACGAACGCUGGCGGCGUGCUUAACACAUGCAAGUCGAACGGAGUGGCGAACGGGUGAGUAACACGUGGGUGGUCUGCCUUGCACUCUGGGGUAAGCUUGGCAAACUGGGUCUAAUACCGGAUAGUGCAAGAUGAGCUCGCGGCCUAUCAGCUUGUUGGUGGGGUAAUGGCCUACCAAGGCGUCGGCGGGAAGCCGGCCUGGGAGGGUGUACGGCCACAUUGGGACUUAGAGACGGCCCAGACUGCUACGAGAGGAAGCAGGGGGGAAUAUUGCUGAAUGGGCGGAAGCCUGAUGCAGCGGCGCCGCGUGGGGGAUAACGGCUUUCGGGUUGUGAACUGCUUUCGAGAGGGAAACGGUACCUGUAUAAGAAGCACCGGCUAACUCCGUGCCAGCCGCCGCGGUAAUAC